rnacentral:rRNA from 1 species
UACAGAGGUCUCAACCGUUGUUCGGAUUCAUUGGGCGUAAAGCGUGCGCAGGCGGUGAUGUAAGACAGUUGUGAAAUCCCCGGGCUCAACCUGGGAACUGCAUCUGUGACUGCAUCGCUGGAGUGCGGCAGAGGGGGAUGGAAUUCCGCGUGUAGCAGUGAAAUGCGUAGAUAUGCGGAGGAACACCGAUGGCGAAGGCAAUCCCCUGGGCCUGCACUGACGCUCAUGCACGAAAGCGUGGGGAGCAAACAGG